rnacentral:rRNA from 1 species
GGCCGCGGUAUUAAUAACCGUGCAAAGGUAGCAUAAUCAUUAGUCUUUUAAUUGGAGGCUUGAAUGAAUGGCCGGACAAGAGGAAAACUGUCUUCUUUAAUAAGGAUUGAAUUUAACUUUUAAGUGAGAAGGCUUAAAUAUUUCAGAGGGACGAUAAGACCCUAUAAAACUUUAUAAAAAGUAAAAUUUAAAUUGAAGUAUUAUAAAAAAUUAAGGUUUAUAGUUAUUAUUGAGUUGGGGCAACAAGAGUGUAAUUAUGAAUAAUUGCUUUAAGAAAAAAACAGUGAUAUUUGUGUUAAUUAUAUGAUCCUUAUUUUUUAAGAUUUUAAGAUUAAGUUACUUUAGGGAUAACAGCGUUAUUUUUUUUGAGAGUCCAUAUCGAAAAAAAAGUUUGCGACCUCGAUGUUGAA